rnacentral:pre_miRNA from 11 species
AACCGUAGGGAUAAAUGAUUAUCCCGUGCGGACGAGUUAAGUGGACCGCACGGGAAGAUGUAUUUUUCCGUGCGGUU